rnacentral:rRNA from 1 species
ACACAUGCAAGUCGAGCGGUAACAGAUCCAGCUUGCUGGAUGCUGACGAGCGGCGGACGGGUGAGUAAUGCAUAGGAAUCUGCCCGGUAGUGGGGGAUAACCUGGGGAAACCCAGGCUAAUACCGCAUACGUCCUACGGGAGAAAGGGGGCUUCGGCUCCCGCUAUCGGAUGAGCCUAUGUCGGAUUAGCUAGUUGGUGAGGUAACGGCUCACCAAGGCCACGAUCCGUAGCUGGUCUGAGAGGAUGAUCAGCCACAUCGGGACUGAGACACGGCCCGAACUCCUACGGGAGGCAGCAGUGGGGAAUAUUGGACAAUGGGGGGAACCCUGAUCCAGCCAUGCCGCGUGUGUGAAGAAGGCCCUCGGGUUGUAAAGCACUUUCAGCGAGGAAGAACGCCUAGCGGUUAAUACCCGCUAGGAAAGACAUCACUCGCAGAAGAAGCACCGGCUAACUCCGUGCCAGCAGCCGCGGUAAUACGGAGGGUGCAAGCGUUAAUCGGAAUUACUGGGCGUAAAGCGCGCGUAGGUGGCUUGAUAAGCCGGUUGUGAAAGCCCCGGGCUCAACCUGGGAACGGCAUCCGGAACUGUCAAGCUAGAGUGCAGGAGAGGAAGGUAGAAUUCCCGGUGUAGCGGUGAAAUGCGUAGAGAUCGGGAGGAAUACCAGUGGCGAAGGCGGCCUUCUGGACUGACACUGACACUGAGGUGCGAAAGCGUGGGUAGCAAACAGGAUUAGAUACCCUGGUAGUCCACGCCGUAAACGAUGUCGACCAGCCGUUGGGUGCCUAGCGCACUUUGUGGCG